GGAAGACAUCACAUCUCGCCUUGGUCCUGAGAUGGACGUCAGGCUCUUCUGUGUGGCCUUGAGUCUGCUGUGUGCAAAACCCAUGGAGGCUGCAGUCACCCAAAGCCCAAGAAGCAAGGACCCGGGGCAUGGACUGAGGCUGAUCCAUUACUCAUUCGGUGCUGGUGACACACAGACUGGAGAUGUCCCUGAUGGGUUCAAAGCCACCAGGCCAAGCCAAGCAAACUACUCCC